rnacentral:rRNA from 1 species
UACGUAGGGUGCGAGCGUUGUCCGGAAUUACUGGGCGUAAAGAGCUCGUAGGUGGUUUGUCGCGUUGUUCGUGAAAACCGGGGGCUUAACCCUCGGCGUGCGGGCGAUACGGGCAGACUGGAGUACUGCAGGGGAGACUGGAAUUCCUGGUGUAGCGGUGAAAUGCGCAGAUAUCAGGAGGAACACCGGUGGCGAAGGCGGAUCUCUGGGCCAUUACUGACGCUGAGGAGCGAAAGCGUGGGGAGCGAACAGG